rnacentral:lncRNA from 10 species
UUAGAAUUAUUUCACAGACUCGUUAAAGCUUCCAUUCACUCAACAGAUAUUUACUGACCACAUGCCACAUGCCAGGCACAGUGCUGUACAUCAGAAUACAAACAUAGUGAUUUUUCCCUUUUUGUGUGGAGCUUACAUUCUGGGGUAUGUUCAAACAAUGGUAAUAAUAAUGAGAGAUAACACUUAUGGAGCACUGACUAUGUGCAGGCACUCUUUCUGGUGCUUUCAUUUUCCUCAUACUUAUUCAUAUAAUGCUAGCUCUUAGAUAGCUACUCUUAAUGAUCCUCAUUUUACAGAUGAGGAAACUGGGUCAUGGAGGUAAAUGUACCUGUCCAAAGUCAAGCAGCAAUAAAUGAAAGAGACCACUCAGGUCUGUCAGUCUCAAGCAUAUUACUUUCUCUCACACCAUCUGAUCUUUAACCUUAUUUAUUAAACAUGACUCAUAAAAUAGAUGAAAAUAGGUGCUCUGAUGGAGGGUGAAUUAACAUGUGAUACAAACACAGAGGUAAGUAUUGAAUUACAGCUUAGUCUGGGGUAUGUUAAAUUGCGGGCAGUUUCCAAUAAAGCCUCAAGAAGGAGUUGAGCUCUAAGUGAUGAAUAAAUGGGAAGGGUUUAUAGUAGUAUUCUAACCUGAAGUAACAGCAACAGGAAAGGCCUAGAGGAGUGUAGGUACAAGUUUGUGUAACAGCCACUCACCACGGUGACUAGAGCCAGAGUGCACUAGAAUGGGUGGUAGAUGAGGAUGAAGGUUGCUAGACAGUAAGGAUUGGAUUUUCUGUUCUUCACUUAGUAUGUCAAAGCUUGUUGUGGCCCCACAGGGCAGGAAUGGCAGCGUCAGAAUAGAAGCUAUUUAUUCAGAGGGUUUAUGUAUGUGUAUGCGUGCCAGCACACGUGUGUUUGGGGAGGCAUAAUCCAAACACUUUUGCCAGGAAGAGGUGAGUCAGCUGCUUUAUUUUCUGAGAGCUCUACUAAAAUAGUUGGGCUAAAACAUAGGUGUAAUCCUAGACUUCAAUCAUCAAGUUGAAGACUAUGAUGGUUGCAUUUUUCAGUGCGGCAUUGGAAAGGGAAAAGAUUUAUAUAGGGUUGCCAUCUGCAGUUACAAUUGAAAUUCUUCCUUAAAUUCUUGAUGGUAAUGAAUACUGUUACAUUCCACAGAACAUUACAUUCAGUAAUCUUAUGCCCUGGAAUUCCUUCAGAGGCUACUGUCUUCACAUGUGGGGGUUACUCACCUCUGAAAUUGUCUACAUCCCAGGUGCUUUCUUCAGUACUGAAGUAGGUAACUCAGGGCCACGAAUUUAGUCAAACUAGGCUAAAGAGAUCAAUGUUUACACAAAUGAAUGUGCAUGUUCUAGACGGUAGAAAUGUGUGGUUUGUAUGCUGAUCCUUUUUUCGGGGAGAGUGUUGUAGAAACCAGCACUGUCUUCCAAGCUGCUACAAAGGUAUGAUUAAGGCCAGACCUGAUGGGGCCCUUCACCCUGGUCUUUAACCUUCCCCAGAAGGGCUCCUGUUCCUUGUCUUAGAUAGGUGCUUCCCAGGGGGCAAAUUGAGAUAAGAUCUUUAAGCUCUCUAGUUAUAAACAAAAACAAACAAUUUGGUACAUUUUCCCCCUGAAAUUCAGCUCACAGUUUGUCGCGAGUUGAACCUCCUACUACUCCCUCCAUCUAAUAAAGAAAAGCAACAUUGAAUGGCAGCAUCUUAUCUCUGAAAUGACAUCCUGAUCCCAUUCCACAGCAUUGAAACCCUUAACAAGUUGGUCGCUACUUGGCUCUCUAUCUUCAUCUUUAUUCCCCAGUACAUCCUUCCAUGAUAUCUUCUUCCUGGCCAUAUUGAGCUACACUUCUUGUCUCAGCUAUUUCUAUUCUACAAGUUUCUAAAAAGUUCUAGUUAUUGUUAAAUGAAUAACAAAAAGCUGUCUCUGUGACUGUGACAUAUGGCAUGUUUUCCGCUCUUUAAGUAUAAUGUAAAAAAGAUGAGAUCAUGCUCUCCAUUCUGAACUU